rnacentral:sRNA from 1 species
AAGAUAUACAGUCUUCG